GGCCUGUCUGGGUGCCGAGCCGAUGGACUAAACCUGCUGAUCCCAGUGAUUUACCUUCAGCUGAUCCAGAAAAUUUAGCAGAUACUUCUCGUUCUCUACUAUCAACAUAGAGACGGGAUCUGAUGAACUCUCACAUGAAAAUCUUGUGUACAGUACCAAAUUGUGAAUGUUAUCCUUUUGUAUGUUACAUUUGUAAAGUGUGUAAGGAAAAGUGGUGGAUACAUUCUAAGUGGGGUCGAUCUCCAAGAGGGAUUUGUACAGAGUGUUACAACUUUGAAAGAAAUUUGACUGAGAUUGCAUUACAGGGAUCUGAUAGAUGGUGGGAGAUUUUUGCUUUUGGGAUAAAUCCAGAAAAUUAUUGUUAUCAUCCUAAUACCCCUUUACCAUAUAUUAUUGAAAUAACCACAAUAUGUUGUCGUAAGACACUUAUACAGGUCAGGUGUGGCAAUUCUUAAAACGGCAGUCUCGAGAGAAAGGGUCUUUCCCUGAAAGUUAUCCCUGUUGCCAAGAAUGAAAUGGUGUUCAUGAUUUCGAAGCAACCGAAUCGACAGGCGAGGCAGAGGGGUAAAAGAAAAGGGAAGCAAGAUCUCGCAUGUGAUCCAGCCAAGAUGCUAGCUGAACUGCCACAAUCCUUUUAAAAUCCUUAAAGGACUAUCUCUGAUCAGGUUGUUGUUGUGGUUUACCAUGAUAAAGGGAAAUGAAGGGUUUUUGAUUGACAUGGAUGAAAGACAAAAUAUGUGGGUAACAUGGGCUAAUCAAACUGGACAGGAUAAUUUUUGCCUUUCAAUGGCUACCCCUUCGGAUCCUUUUCGAACUUGUUUAGUGGGCGCACCUUUAGAUGAUUCACUCAAUGCCACAAUGUUAAAAAAUUUGGCACAAAUGGCAAUUGUUAUUAUAUUGAUCAUUAUGAUUGUCUUACUGUUUAUUCCUUGCAUACUGCAAUGCUUGCAAAACAUGGUAAAGAAGGCUACUUCUACAGUUUUGUUAGUACAAAAAGAAAAUGGGGGAAUUGUAGAGGAAUGGCUAGAGAGCAAAGGUCAUAUUCCCAUGCAGCAGUUAGCUGGGAAAGAGUUAGACAAUGGAGUACAGAAAGAGUUAGACAAUGGAGUACAGUUAGUGUGAGAUGUUGCAAAGUCAGGAAGGCCUUAGUGAUAACUGUUAACUGAGAACAGGAUGCUGUGAUCAAAAGAAUGUGAAUUCAGCAUAGAUGAGCGAUCACGGGAAUGUGGAAUUAGAUGGAGCUGACCUUAAAUGAAAAUAUCCAAUAAUGAGCUUGCUUUUGCACUAUGUAUGAGCCUAAUUAUUGAUGCUAUAUAAGUGGCUUUAGAAUUACCAAUAAAUGAGACUUGCUGAUCA
rnacentral:lncRNA from 1 species